GGCAGAGGGAGCCCGGUUUCCGCGGUGCACGUGGUAAUCGCUGCGUGCGGACGUACCGAUUUCCGGUACCUACGUGAGGAAAGUCCCCCCACCCGCCGGGUAGGCAACCGGACGCAAGUCCGGAGUGGGAGACCACUGGCUCUGAAACAGAAACGAGACCACUUCGCGUGACCGAUGAGGUGUGCGAACCGACCCGAGAGGGGAGGAAGCUAACCCACCGAGGGAUUUGGUGGCACUGCCACCGAACGGCGCGACGGUGAAACCCCCGCGUCGAUGCGUGCCGACGCUGUCGGCACGCGGACCGCGAAGAAUGGAUGGAACGGUGAAUCCUUGCCGGUGCAAGUCCGUGCCAUAUUGGUAGCCCGGACACGCCGUCGGAAUCCUCCGACGUGCCUCCGGAGAUAAUCCGGGGAUGGUUCGGACGCUGAGCCGAAUACUGGGCCGAACAGAAGGGGGCUUACUCCCCUCAGCC
rnacentral:RNase_P_RNA from 2 species